GGGUUAGAUGGAGAAGGGGGGUUCAUUUCUUUCUGAUAGUGACGGCCUUGGUUCACAGGCUGAAAGAAACAAAACAUCUGUGAGGCGGAAACCCAUCAGCUUGGCGACCUUGGCACACACCCUCGCAUCAGUCCUCAUUUCUGAUGUUUUGAUAUCAACGGUUCUCAUUUUUUGAGAUCUUAUUUCUGAUAUUCCAUCUGCAGGAGAGAGCUGCGUCCCCUUCCCAGCGUAGGCAGAGGCUCUGGGAGACCCAGCAAUCCCAGGGUGGCAUAACCCACAGAACGCAGGCCACUUUAAAGGGUUCCGUAGCAUCUGUGAUGUAAACAGAGGCCUCCCUCACAUGAGAGCUCUCCGUGUGGAAUCUUUAGGCUGUUGCUGCUUCUGGAGACAGCAGAGGAAAACAAGGUCUCCUGCUGAAAGCACUGGCAAUGGCUAGAGGUGCAGCAAAACAUAUUUAUGUCUCAGGGCCAAUGUGUCAGUCACCCAUGUGAGAAUCAUGUCACUUAGCCUGGCUACCUGCGAUGCACCAUGCAUUUCGGUGCUCUCAGAUAAUUUGGUGAGUGAACGGCAGGCAACACCGUCACGGUAAUCAGAAAUAACAGCUGGGAGAACAGUGGAAGGGAAAUAUGUCAUAAGGCAUAACUCAUCUCACCAGAGAAAUCAAAAUUUCAGCAAUUUGCAAGUGAAAUUUAGUUGGCAAUUUAGGCUUUAUUAUUUAGAGCGAGAGCUGCUUCUCUGGAUCAGCUUGCACUGGGAUAGGAAAUGUCCCAAUGAUGCCGUCGUUGGCAUCCACUGUGCGUCUGCAGCACUGAGGCCUCUGGUGAAUGGACUUCUGCUUAUUUAUCUCCACAUGCACUUCCAGAACUUUCUGGGUAGGUAUCACAGCUCCAUAACCGAGCAAAUGUCCACCCCUGAAUUUUAUAGCCAUUGGUUCUAUGUAAACUCAUUCCAAGCCCUUAUUCCAGAUGCUGUCUUUCCUUCCUUGGAAAGCUCUUUGCCCUGGGCACACUAGUUCUUCUCAGUGAUCCAAGGGGGAAGAAAGGCACAUCCAAUAAUGACUCACAAUAGUGUUUGGAAACAUUCAAUAACAGCUUUUCAGAGAAGGAAAAACUUCAUAUGCAGAGGUAUGUCUGCCUGAAGUCAAAUGUCAUCAAGUUGACUUUAUGGGGCUGAAGACCUGCUACCCCACCUGUGGUAUCUUGCAUUGAGAAACAGAAGCAGUGACAAGGUUGCACAUCCCUGCCCUUGCUCUUUACCUCAUACAACUGAGGAAGGAGUUUGUGGUGUACUCCUAAACCUUAUGUGAUCCUCCCUGCACCCAGAAGAAAGGAUCCCCCUUAUCUCAAGAAGGUGCAGGAACACAGGGGAGAGGCUGAUCAAAAGGCCUUGCUAAGCUCUCCUGGUAUCCUUCCAGUAGAUCAUAUCACCUUUAUUAAAUCAUAGUUCUCCAUGAAUUUCCACUCUGUCUAAUCUAGCAUGACAAUAAGCAAGAGACCAUUUCUCUUGGAAAAUUCAAGUGUAAUCAUUUCUCUGGGUCUUCCUUUUUUUUCUUUUUGAGGGUUCUUGUGUCAUGAAACACGUAUGAAAUUUAUUUGUAGGCUUUAAAAAAGAAAUGAAUCUGUCUUCUAUUAUAAAUUCUCAGCCAUGGACCUAAGGUGGGUAGUGAAGGAGACAUUUUCCCUUUCCUGGGUUUCUCCUAUAGACAUAUCAAUAAGUUUGUUUUUUGGGUAGGUAACAUCCUGUGACGGUAUCUGUGAUGGUCAAAUAAAAUCAAGGUUUGAUUUUGGAAUUUAGCCUUACGUGCAGAAUACUCUAAGUAUUCUUAGAGUAUAAUGCAAAAGGCCAUUGCUCAUGCCCAGAAGUAACAACACCAACUCCAAUAGCAGCAGCAACUUACUGGUGUCUACGAACACCUACGAGGGCCACAGCAGUGACGCAUAUUUACCUCAGUUACCUCGUGCUAAUUCUCGAGAGGGAUGAUCUCAUUUGAGCCCCACUGCAAGCCUGUGAACUACAUAUGAUUAACUCAUUUAUUAGAAGAGGACAUUCUGCUACUAGUAUUAACCCAAGACCGUGCUUGCCAGGACACGGUGCAGCUAGGAUCUGUACCCAUUCGUGAGACUCCAUCUCGGCACUAGUUUGUUUGUAUUGUUUAAUGCAGCUUGGGAAUUCACGCAGAAUGUGGAAUGCAAUGUUUCUGAAUAACAACCUGGCAGGAUCCAUUCAGUAUACGGAAAGGAAAAAGGAAGCAGUCCCAAGAUACAUUUGUCUGAAGCAUACGAGACUGUCCGAUUUUUAUAAAUUAAGUUCACUUGAUUUGACACUCACAGCAUGUCGCUAUAUAUUUAAAGUUAACAUCAGUAAGAUUUUAAGCACACUGAUGAACGUGGGCCUGUUAUAUAUAGUUGAGUUAUAUCAGGCAACACACACUCGGAGAAUAAGGACCAUUCAUAUUGUGAGGUGACUUUUGUAGUCGCUAGCCAUAGAACAACUUGCACAUAACCAUAUUUUCUCCUGACAGCACAGAAAUGACCGUGACUCUAAUAUCAGUUUCCUCGUAUCAUUUCUCAGUUUCAUCUGAUUUUAUCUACAGUGCAGCACAAUCAAAACCCUACCUUCCUAGUUUACCCAGAUAACAAACAAGCCUGGCAUAUCCUGCAAGAGCUGAGGAACUAAUGAGUCUGUGGAUGAGAAGAAAUUAAGACCCAUUAGGGCCCCAGUCCGUGUGCACGGCCCCAGGAUGCCUGCUUAGCUCCAGGAGCCAUGAGAAGAGGAACUUGAAGAACUCCUGCCAGGUAGCAGGCUCCUAACAUGGAAAGGCCCUUUGGGGCUGGCUCAGCAGCUAAUGGUGCUUUCCACAGAGCCUGACAACUGGGCCCAGUCAAUCCCUGGGACUGCCAUGGUGGAAGAGAACUAAUUCAGCCAGGCUGUGCUCCAACAUCCAUGCCCGUGCCAUGGUGCGUACCCCUCACAGAUAGAUGAACGUAAAGGACUUCUUUAAUAAAAAGUUAGCCACCCUGUAAGGCAGAGGAGGCGGUGGAAACAACCAAACCCAGACAAAAUCCAAACAAACAAGUGGGUGUGUCCCAAAGGGAGAGGUCAAUGGAAGAGCAGGCAGGCUGGCAGAGAACAGGGACAGGGGACACUGUGGCUGGAGCGCAGUGUCAUUCGCCUGUGCACAUGCUGGAUGGGGUGGGGCAGGCAGCCAGGGUGAGUCUCAAGUUCUAUGUGAGCUGAGGGAGAGGGCCUGAAGAGAAGGGUAUCUGGCAUAAGGAGAGACGCUGCUCUCACCUCCACAGUCUGCCUCUUUCUCGAAUCUGAAAUGCCUUCCUCUGUUUUGUCUACAUGUAAACUUGCACUCCUUCAUGAGCUCUGACCUAAGUGAGGACGUCUGACAGCGUGCCUGGGACCUAGAGGCCAUGUUGAUAUGGAUUGCUCCUUCCUAUACCUUCCCACAGUUCUUUGUCUCACUGACACUCAUCAUCCUGAAUCGCAGAGCUUCUGUCGCUCUGUGAGCAUCCUAAGGUGGGGACAAGUUUUAUCCCUAACAUCCCUCCUAGUCCCCACCACAUUGUACUGAAUAGGUGCGGAAUGAGCGCAUGCGACACAGAUGACGAAGUCUGGGACGGGAGGUGGACAUUUACUCCUGCUCUGGGCACAGAGGAAGAUAUGGCCUUCACAGUGAGGCCUAGAGUAGUGCCACCGAAAAUCCUGGAGCUGUCUGGGUGUCAAUCCGGAGCAAGGUACACGGAUACCCUCACCGUGCAGGUACAGAGCUGGAACUGUAACUUGGAGGGAAUGGUGGAGAGAAGGGGGAAGUGAGGCUGGGGUAGGGUGGUCUCUCAGAGUGCAGGAAGCCCUCUGCCUCAGACUCCAGAGGCAAUGGGAGUCACUGCUUUAGGGAGAACGGAGCGUGUGUGAAUAUCCACAGAGACCAGAAGAGGAGGUUGGGUCCCCUAGAGCUGGAGUAACAGGCAGCUGUGGGCUGCCUGCUGUGGCUACAACAGACUGAAUUCUGGCCAUCUGACAACUAAGGAUUUUACUAAGUGCUUAUUAUGUUUCAAAUUCAGCAGCAGAUGUUUUACAAGGCGGUAGGCCACCGGGUGAGUGCUCCUAACCCUUAGAUCAGAGGCAAGGAGAUGAGGUAUGAGAAAAGCCAGACAAACAGCACCGCGCCAAGUCCCUCUUCUGACCUCCGAGGAUACCAGGAGUGCACAUGCAGGAUGCGGAGUUCAUUACGGAAUGCAAUUUCCCAUUUGUUGCUAGUUCCAGUGGUGGAGCAAACCGAACUUGAUGAAAUAAUAAACACGUCCCAUGAAUCUGAAGAAUAGGACAGCGAUGAGAACCCCGUAUCCAGGGCAACCAAGAGUUCAGACUUCUCAGUCCAUAAAUAAUCAUUCCCCGGCUUGCCCUCUGUACUCCUGGUCUCUGAGCCACUUUCUGACAAAAUGGGCUCCAUCCGGACGGAGGCUGCCACUCUUUCUCUAACUGGGGCUUAAAUGACUGCUGGGGAAUAUUCUAUAAAAAAGGCACCGUUUCACUUCUGUCUGCAACUGACUCUUGUAAUUUUUCUCUGGUGAGAGGAUGCUCUGUGGCCAGAGUCAUGGGGGCAUAGAUACCAUCUAGCACCAAGCUGCCUAGAAAGUUCUGGGUAUCCAUGGCUGCGUCUAAUGAGACCAGAUUGAGCAAGAGGAAGCUGGAGGCAGGGGAGACAGAGACAAAGGUCCCAAAGUGAGCACUGGUGGUAACUGUCCGCCUUUGAACCUCCUUAGAGACUUCUGGAUUCACUGUCCAUGAUGACUUGCAUGUUCUCUCAAGAGCACAGGAACCUUAUCUUCCAUUGGAUGCCUGUAGCACCCAUUUGACAAGCAACUCACAUAUUAAGAGUCAGGAAGACAGCCGGGCCACUUCUCAGGAACCGCAGUGUUCUCACAGGAAGUGGAAACGCUAGUGGCAGCUGGAAGGACUCAUGUAACUAACACAUUGGACUACACGCCAAGAGGCUGCCCAGACACACGAUGUCUACAAAACUGUUGGGGGGCCUGGAACAACUGGCAGAUAGCAAACAAUUACUUAUUAAAUAUGCAAAACUUAUCUUCUCUCUACUACAUUUGAACUUAACAUUAUGUAGGUUUAAAACGUAUCUUAAACAUUUUAAGGAUUUAUUGAUAUUUACUUAA
rnacentral:sRNA from 1 species